ACUGAGACCGUGACCUCUUUCUUUCUUUUAUUUAACACAAAACUGAUGUGUCCGCAUUCACGGCCAGGCCGGACUCUGUGCAGACAGGUUCAAGACCCCUGCGCUGCCCACCCCGCGGGUCCGGCUGCGCUCGGAGGCCGGGCCUGGCCUGCCUGGCCCAUGAGGAUCUGCACCAGCAGGUCCACGAACCCAAAGGAAGCGUACAUGAGGACCAGCUGUUCCAGGCGCAGGGUCAGCUGUUGGGAGAUCUCUAACAGCUGCAUACAGGACGGGUACAGUGAGAUCAGCUGGCCUGAGAAGAGUGGGACUCCCC